CGGGCCGCUGCAGCAGUGAGGAAUAUUGCACAAUGGGGGGAACCCUGAUGCAGCAACGCCGCGUGGAGGAUGACGCAUUUCGGUGUGUAAACUCCUUUUAUAUGUCAAGAAAAUGACGGUAGCAUAUGAAUAAGCACCGGCUAACUCCGUGCCAGCAGCCGCGGUAAUACGGAGGGUGCAAGCGUUACUCGUAAUCACUGGGCGUAAAGGACGCGUAGGCGGGUUGGAAAGUCAGGUGUGAAAUCCUACAGCUUAACUGUAGAACUGCACUUGAAACUUCUAAUCUAGAGUAUGGGAGGGGGAGAUGGAAUUAGUGGUGUAGGGGUAAAAUCCGUAGAUAUCACUAGGAAUACCUAAAGCGAAGGCGAUCUCCUGGAACAUUACUGACGCUAAGGCGUGAAAGCGUGGGGAGCAAACAGGAUUAGAUACCCUUGUAGUC
rnacentral:rRNA from 1 species